rnacentral:rRNA from 1 species
GAUCCUGGCUCAGGAUGAACGCUGGCGGCGUGCCUAACACAUGCAAGUCGAACGAGGUAAAUAAGAUGAAGUUUUCGGAUGGAUUCUUAUUUACCGAGUGGCGGACGGGUGAGUAACGCGUGGGUAACCUGCCUCAUACAGGGGGAUAACGGUUAGAAAUGACUGCUAAUACCGCAUAAGCGCACAGUACCGCAUGGUACGGUGCGAAAAACUCUGGUGGUAUGAGAUGGACCCGCGUCUGAUUAG